rnacentral:lncRNA from 1 species
UUAUCCUGACUAAGAUUUUGCUAAAUUGAAAUACACUGAUGCAUAUCUCCUACCAAUUUAGAGGGGUCAAUUUCAUCUUGACUCACACACCGACUUGAUAAGUACUUGACUCACCUAGUAUUCUUUCAUCACUAAGUUAGAAACUCAGAUAGUUUAGUAUUAAAGUAUAGUGAAUUGCUUAUAAGUCACCGUGGUGGUCUCAGAUCGGAGGGACACUUAUACCCAUACCUUUCAUAAGCUACUCUUGACAGUAAAGUACUCGGCAC